AGAGUUUGAUCCUGGCUCAGGACGAACGCUGGCGGCGUGCUUAACACAUGCAAGUCGAGCGGAAAGGCCCUUCGGGGUACUCGAGCGGCGAACGGGUGAGUAACACGUGAGCAACCUGCCCUUAGCUCCGGGAUAGCUCCGGGAAACCGGAAUUAAUACCGGAUACGACCACGGCCGACAUCGGCUGUGGUGGAAAGGAUUCCGGCUAAGGAUGGGCUCGCGGCCUAUCAGCUAGUUGGUGGGGUAACGGCCUACCAAGGCGACGACGGGUAGCCGGCCUGAGAGGGCGACCGGCCACACUGGGACUGAGACACGGCCCAGACUCCUACGGGAGGCAGCAGUGGGGAAUAUUGCGCAAUGGGCGAAAGCCUGACGCAGCGACGCCGCGUGGGGGAUGAAGGCCUUCGGGUUGUAAACCCCUUUCAGCAGGGACGAAGCGCAAGUGACGGUACCUGCAGAAGAAGCGCCGGCUAACUACGUGCCAGCAGCCGCGGUAAUACGUAGGGCGCAAGCGUUGUCCGGAAUUAUUGGGCGUAAAGAGCUCGUAGGCGGUCUGUUGCGUCCGCUGUGAAAACCCAGGGCUUAACCCUGGGCUUGCAGUGGAUACGGGCAGACUAGAGGCAGGUAGGGGAGAAUGGAAUUCCCGGUGUAGCGGUGAAAUGCGCAGAUAUCGGGAGGAACACCGGUGGCGAAGGCGGUUCUCUGGGCCUGUACUGACGCUGAGGAGCGAAAGCGUGGGGAGCGAACAGGAUUAGAUACCCUGGUAGUCCACGCCGUAAACGUUGGGCGCUAGGUGUGGGGUCCUUCCACGGUUUCCGUGCCGCAGCUAACGCAUUAAGCGCCCCGCCUGGGGAGUACGGCCGCAAGGCUAAAACUCAAAGGAAUUGACGGGGCCCGCACAAGCGGCGGAGCAUGUUGCUUAAUUCGACGCAACGCGAAGAACCUUACCAAGGCUUGACAUGCAGGGAAAAGCCGUAGAGACCCG
rnacentral:rRNA from 1 species